AUGCUCAAAAAAGCACAAGAAGAGGGGAGAGUUAAGGGGGUGUCAUUCGGGAGCACUGGCCCCCGUGUUACACAUCUCCUGUUUGCUGAUGACAGCAUAGUCUUUAUUGAGGGGACGCAGGAUAAUGUGGAGGCGUUAAGAGAUAUACUGUUGAGGUAUGAGGAGGCUUCUGGGCAGCGUGUUAAUUUACAGAAGUCUUCUAUCUUUUUUGGAAAAGGUCACCAUGAUGCCAACAAGGUGGAUAUCAAGAAUGUGUUGGGGAUUCAAACCGAGGCUCUUAGUGAGAGAUAUUUGGGACUGCCAACACUGGUUGGGAAGUCCAAAGAGGGCACCUUUAAAUAUGUGACAGAG
rnacentral:rRNA from 1 species